UGACCAGGAAUACGACUUUUCUGAAGCAGAUCAUAUAUCUGCACCACCCAGGGCAUUUGAACAGAUCCCAGAGGCCGACCCAAAACAACGCCGCUAGAGAAGAGGCAGAAACUCAAACAGGAAGCACCCGUGCUAAGCACUAUUCAACACUGGCCUCACCAAUCAGAAUCCACGCUUCAAGAUUGUUUUGAUCACGCGGACUGGGAUAUGUUCCUGGUAGCCUCAGAGAAUACUAUUGAUGUUUACACUGAUCCGGUCCACAGACGAUACAAUUGCCAUCGCACUGCACGCUGCCCUAUACCAUCUG